rnacentral:rRNA from 1 species
AGUGAACGCUGGCGGCAGGCCUAAUACAUGCAAGUCGAACGGCAGCACAGCAGAGCUUGCUCUGUGGGUGGCGAGUGGCGGACGGGUGAGGAAUACAUGGGAAUCUGCCCAGUCGUGGGGGAUAACGUAGGGAAACUUACGCUAAUACCGCAUGCGCCCUUCGGGGGAAAGCCGGGGACCUUCGGGCCUGGCGCGAUUGGAUGAGCCCAUGUCGGAUUAGCUAGUUGGCGGGGUAAAGGCCCACCAAGGCGACGAUCCGUAGCUGGUCUGAGAGGAUGAUCAGCCACACUGGAACUGAGACACGGUCCAGACUCCUACGGGAGGCAGCAGUAGGGAAUAUUGGACAAUGGGCGCAAGCCUGAUCCAGCCAUGCCGCGUGAGUGAAGAAGGCCUUCGGGUUGUAAAGCUCUUUUGUCCGGAAAGAAAAGCAUCCAGUUAAUACCUGGGUGUCCUGACGGUACCGGAAGAAUAAGCACCGGCUAACUUCGUGCCAGCCGCCGCAGUAAAAC